rnacentral:rRNA from 1 species
UAACAGGAUUAGAUACCCUGGUAGUCCACGCCGUAAACGAUGUCGACUUGGAGGUUGUGCCCUUGAGGCGUGGCUUCCGGAGCUAACGCGUUAAGUCGACCGCCUGGGGAGUACGGCCGCAAGGUUAAAACUCAAAUGAAUUGACGGGGGCCCGCACAAGCGGUGGAGCAUGUGGUUUAAUUCGAUGCAACGCGAAGAACCUUACCUGGUCUUGACAUCCACAGAACUUUCCAGAGAUGGAUUGGUGCCUUCGGGAACUGUGAGACAGGUGCUGCAUGGCUGUCGUCAGCUCGUGUUGUGAAAUGUUGGGUUAAGUCCCGCAACGAGCGCAACCCUUAUCCUUUGUUGCCAGCGGUUAGGCCGGGAACUCAAAGGAGACUGCCAGUGAUAAACUGGAGGAAGGUGGGGAUGACGUCAAGUCAUCAUGGCCCUUACGACCAGGGCUACACACGUGCUACAAUGGCGCAUACAAAGAGAAGCAAUCUCGCGAGAGCUAGCGGACCUCAUAAAGUGCGUCGUAGUCCGGAUUGGAGUCUGCAACUCGACUCCAUGAAGUCGGAAUCGCUAGUAAUCGUGAAUCAGAAUGUCACGGUGAAUACGUUCCCGGGCCUUGUACACACCGCCCGUCACACCAUGGGAGUGGGUUGCAAAAGAAGUAGGUAGCUUAACCUUCGGGAGGGCGCUUACCACUUUGUGAUUCAUGACUGGGGUGAAGUCGUAACAAGGUAACCAA